GCCGCUCCCCCCGCCCGCCCCGGCGCCCCCAGAGGCGGGCGGUCGCCGCCUGCUCGCCCGCCGCCCCUCGCCCUGCCGAGGCGGCCCUCCCCUCCCCGCGGCGAAGGCCACGGCCGCCGGCAGGCGGGCGGGCCGGGGCGGUACCUGCGCUGGAAGUCUGUCUCGAAGGGGGCCAGUGUGUCUGCUGCCGGGUGAACUCUUCGUUCCCACACACAAAAAAAUACACCACCACCACCACCCCCCCAACCAGAUUUGGUGUCAUCGUGAGCGCUGGAAUAAAUUUCUCCACCGUUUGAUAGGGUGCUGGCGUACUCACAGACAAGGUUAGCAAAACAAGGCUCCGGGGGCAUCCAUGAGUUCUCAUAAACACCGUGUCUGUACAGCAAAAUGUCGCUUAACCGGACACAUAAAGAAUCCUAAACAAAUGUGUCUCUAGGUCCUGAGGCUGGCAGUUUAAGACGAGAGAGCGGGCUUGCUUUACGACAAGUCAUCAGCCCCUGAGGUCUUCACAAGAAGAACAAUGAUGUUUGUGUUGGGGGGGGUUCAUUCCUCAGUCUUAGCUCUCUUUCCUCAAAGAAUCUGAAAUAUGAAUAAUUGUGGUAGGAUAAAUGACAAUACAUGGACCACUAGGAAUACUAAGUCUCUGGAACCCAUCUGCCAUUUACUUUGUGUCAUCACUGACUCUCAUAACACAGUGUUUUAGGCAAGAUUAUUGUUAUAGAUAUAUAUUUUUGCCUUAACAUCAACCUUGUAUAAAUUUAACAUUUUUUUUAUCAGUGAUACAGUUCACUGUCUCUGGUCAGUCAGGUCGGUAGUAGUCAAAUACCAGCCAUAUUAGUACACUAUAAAGAAGGAAUCCUUUCAAAAGUCUUUCAUGUCUUACCCCCAUUAAAACUCAGUCUCACAGACCACACUAAGUCCUCUCCUGACAUUUUUCUAUUGGUCAUUAUCUGGCUCUUCUACCAUUUGCAGUUAAGGCAUUAAUUUAUGCAAAUCAAGAGAUUUCUUCAUUCAUAAGAUCAUUGUCCAAAUUGUUAGAAUUGUUUGUUCUAUUUCCUCCCUCUGCUGUUUCAGCUGCACACAGUUAAAAUACUGAAUUCCUCUUACAGUUCAUGAAUUAUCUGUGGCUUUUCGACCUAUGCACUCCUUCAGCUGUCUCUUCAAUAACUCCUAUGUUGUCAUCUGUGUCAACACAUGGACAAGAAAAACUCAUAAACGUUUCCAUCCUGGGAGCUGAGUCAUUCUCUAAAUCAGGACCAUCAUCCUAUGAAUGCAAAAUCUUCCUCUCCAGAACUUAAGGGCAAGUACUAUCUAUGUGAUUUUACACAGGAUGUUUUAGCUUCCCUUACUUUAAAUUACUUGUGUGUCUGACUGAAAAGCACAUAAUUUAGCAGUAUCCACCAAAAUUUUCUUUGUAUUCAUAUCGUAUGUGUUCCAUAAUGCCAGAAACUCAGUCAUCCUUCUGAGUUCUGUGUUCUAUUUCCUUUAUUUUUUGAUCAGUUGUCAUUUCAAAAUAUACUCACAUCGUCACUGGUUUGGUUUUUGUACAUACAUCUGAUUUCUGUGAACUGUGACUACAUUCCUGUCAUCUGGGAAACCUUGAGGGCUCAAGGAACAUAACCUCCUGUACAAUCAAAUUGUUAUUCCAUUCAUACCAUUAAAAGACACUCAUGGUGAAUCAGUCUGGCUUAAGUCAUACAAUAUACCUAACAUUUAAAAGGGCUGACUAAUGAGGACAUGUAUUAGACACCCUGAAAGUGAGGAAAAAGCAAGACCAACUGUUUAUUUCUUAUCUUUUUCCUAGCACUAUAAAAUACCAUACACAUUCUUUGUAUAUUUAAAUGAAUGAACUUGCUUUUAUUCUUGUGUCUGUGCUUGCCAAAAAUGUAUACUCUGGUAGGUUGAAACCACUCUAGCACUACUACAAGUUAUUAACACUAUGAUUUUUCCUGUUUAUGUCCAAAUUGCUGGGUUACUUGUAGCAUUGAAUAAGAUUUACAUGAAAACUUCUGAAGAACUUUGUGUUUGAGUUGUAUUAUGUUGCUUGAAAUAAAACUUUUCAGCUGA